rnacentral:lncRNA from 14 species
GGUCCGGGGGGUUUAUUUUGGUCAUUUUGGGUCUGGGGGGGCUAUUUUGGUUAUUUUGGGUCUGGGGGGGCUCUAACCCCUCCCCCUGUCCCCCCAGGCCAGGCCCCGCCCCCCCCGCCCCCCCCCGUGUCCCUGUACCUGUUCCCGGGGGAGGGGGGGGGCUCUGCCCGGGCCCCCCCCGAGCCCCCCCGGGGGGGCGGCGCCGGCCCCGCCCCCGAGGCUGGCCCCGCCCCCGAGGCUGGCCCCGCCCCCGAGGCCGACCCCGAGGGGUUCUGCGUCCUGGAGGCCCCGGAGAGCCCCGAGCCCGUGAGUGGGGGGGGCUGGGGGGGCAGUGGGGGGGCUGGGGGCUUUGGGGUGUCCGUGGGUGACAUUUGGGUGUCCCCAGGUGACACCGGGCUGUCCUCGAGUGCAGGUGACGUUGGGCUGAGUGUGGGUGACACUGGGGGGGGUUCCCACGUGUCACCUGUCUGUCCCUGUCCCCAGGUGACAUUGGGGUGUCCCUGUCCCAGGUGUGUCCCCGUAUCUGCUGGCUGUGCCCCGGGUGACACUGGGGUGUCCGUGGGUGACACUGGGGUGUCCCCAGGUGACAUUGCUGACACAGGGGGGUGUGUCAUCUGUGUGUCCCUGUCCCAGGUGUGUCCCUGUCCCAGGUGUGUCCCCAUAUCUGCUGGCUGUCCCCUGGGUGACACUGGGGUGUCCCCAGGUGACAUUGCUGACGUGGGGGGGUUCCCAGGUGUCACCAGGCUGUUCCCAGGUGUCACCUGUGUGUCCCUGUCCCCAGGUGUGUCCCCGUAUCCGCUGGCUGGCCCCCGGGCCCCUGCGCAUCCUCCCCGGCCAUUUCGGGGUCCCGCGGGGGGGGCGGGACCGGCUGCGCCCCCCCCCGGGGCUCCCCCCCCCGCUCCCGCCUGCUGCUGCGCGACCUCAGCCUCACCUGGGCCCUGCACGGGGGGCGGGACUUCGGCAACGGCCACGCCCCCGACAGGUGGGACAGGGACCCGGGGGCGGAGCUUGUGGGGACUCGCAUAUGGGAGGGGCUUUGUGGGGGCACGCCCAUGGGUGGAGCUUGUCAGGACACAUCCGUGGGUGGGGCUGGAGGGGACACACCUAUGA